AGGAAACUGCAAGGAAUAUUUACGAACUUCACCACGACUUUUUGGGGCCGUCUAUAAACGGGGUCGUAUAGAAAGUCUACUUGUUUGCUCUUCCCUGCUGUGUGUGUGUGUGUGUGUGUGUGUGUGUGUGUGUGUGUGUGUGUGUGUGUGUGUGUGUGUAUGUGUGGGUGUGUGGCACCGUAACAGCGUGGUACGGAUAUUACAUAAUGCAAGAUUGAAUUCUGGGACCAGUGAGUUAUUAGAUUUCCGGAAACAAGUUAUCUACUACAGACAGCGUUCGUCCCCAGCAGCGCCGCGCCAGUCGCCACCACGCCACUUGUCAAGCGCCUCUGCCUCGUGCCCCUGUUCCAGCUCACCUACAUGAACCCCACCGCUUCAGCCUGGCAAUAUCUCACACCUGCCGAUACCGAUUCCCUUUCACCCUUCACCCAACACUCGCGGCAACAGCUCGCCUCCUGCUCCCCUACACACUCACGACAAACACUCAUCUAACUCAUUAAUGCUUCACAAAUCCUCGUCGCCCCGUUCAUGUCAACACCAGCCUUUCAUCAUGUUCUCCAGUUAUUUCUGUCGCCUCAGUUAUCAACGCAGCGUCAGCAUGGCGUCAGAAAGUUUAUGCCGGAAGAAGUGGAGGGUGGGGAGAAAGCCUUCUGCUUUGCUGUCCUUCUCUCCUACCAUCACCUAGCUCAGGUCACCUCGUGAGGACUGCAAGAUCGAGUCUCGCUAGGGGUUCGAUAUAUUACGAAGACAGGCAAUCAGAGUGAGAAUUUCUUCUGUGUCUAAGUAAUGAUGUAUGUCUAGAUUUUCAGGUAUAUUGGCUUAUAAGUAAGAGCAAUUUAUUAUAUUACCCAUCACUUCAAUGCUGGAGAUCAAGUUUUUUCCUUGGUAUAUCUUGUUUGUGACGAUUUUGAAGCGUCCGGACUGACUGCAGUACCUAGGGACCGUCUCACUUCCCGUCUUGUCCUCAUGUGCAUUGCCUUGUGCUCAGAAAUCUCCAUCCUUACAGCUGCUUUUGAUUACCUAAAUUCGUGUGUUUGAAUAUUUUAUAUACAAUAAUCCAGAUAAUAAUUCAUGUUACAUGAUAUAAAUGAAAAUACACCGCUCUGCACAACGCGAAGUGCAGGAAGGGCCGCUAGGUGGCGCACUCUCUGUCCGAGUGGAAGGAAGAAGUCGCACAUCGGUGCAUAUUUGUACCGUGAUUUUCGACUGUCUGGAGUCCUCGGCUGCUUUGUUGGUGAGGAAACACGGCACACGGAGGUUUCUCCAGCUGGGGAAAUCCACGCAAGUUGCAAACCUUACAGGAAAAAGUAAGGUAAUACUCCUGAAACGUGAAAAGGUUCUGUCACUCGUUCUCUUCACCCAUCAUGCAGUAGUGUUACUGAGAAGGCUACAAAAGGAAUGUCAGAUGUAGCAACGUGAACCGGGACUAAGUGGCUGGCUAUUAAGUUUCCGGGUUUCACAACUGGUUCGAACGAGCGUUGCUGCCUCCUUGUGACUGUUGGGGCCUCCGUGUAGAAAGUGCCUACUCCUCCCCACAGCGUUACACAGAGUGGGUGAUCGAAGCUAACAAGCCACUAAAUGAAACUGUAGUUGCGCUGGUGGUAGUUGAAUGACGAGGACGCCUCCCCACCGUGCCUGUUACAUGUUAUAAGCUUACCCUCCUCGGCUCACUGGUACGGCUUCACAGACUGCCAGAGAUGUCAUCACUCCACAGACCACUCCAAGUCCCAACGGCGUCUCUGGGAAGCAAGCAGACUGAGGAACUGAGGGAUCAUUUACUGACAAUCGCAGCUAAGUAACGAGAAAGUUAACAUUAGUAAUACAGGUAAAGGGUGGAGAUCAAGGUGCUACGAGGCAAGACACAUCAGUACCAGUAGAAGAAUAAUCGUGCUGUUGGGUUCAUUCAUAGUGAGGAUGUGAAGAAUUGAGAAAAAGAGAAUAUUAAUGAAGGUAGCGAGAAGAAUUUGUCAUGUAGAUUAACAGCUCUCAUAAAAGCAGCAGCGGUACGAAUAAUGGAAGGAUAUUAGAAUAGAGACAUGAAAGAGUGUAUUAGGGAGAGAGAGAGAGAGAGAGAGAGAGAGAGAGAGAGAGAGAGAGAGAGAGAGAGAGAGAGAGAGAGAGAGAGAGAGAGAUACAA